rnacentral:tRNA from 1 species
CCCAGUGAUUCAGAUGGUACAGAAUCUGCCUGCAAUGCAGAAGACAUGGGUUUGAUCCCUGCAUUGGGA